UUUAUUGUUAAACUGAUGAACAUUGAAAGGGUUGUAUUUAUCUUGAGUUCUGCAGAAACUGCAGCUAGGAAGACCCUAGAGGAGGUUAUGGCUGAAGCCCUUUCAAAGGCUUGCUCUAGUCGUGCAGCUGUUCAGGCAGUUUGCUUAGCUGUAUCUGGUGUAAAUCAUCCUACAGAUCAACAGAGAAUACUGGAUUGGCUAAGAGAUAUAUUUCCAAGCCAUGUGAAGUUCUACGUGGAAAAUGAUUCCGUGGCAGCACUGGCUAGUGGUACAAUGGGAAAGCUCCAUGGCUGUGUACUGAUUGCAGGUACAGGCACCAUUGCUUAUGGGUUCACUGAAGAUGGAAGAGAAGCCCGAGCUGCUGGUGCAGGACCAGUCUUGGGGGAUUGGGGAAGUGGGUAUGGAAUUGCUGCACAGGCAUUGACUGCAGUGAUUAGGGCACAUGAUGGUCGUGGUCCGCAAACAAAACUAACAGAAAACAUUCUCAACAUACUUGGGCUUUCUUCACCAGAUGAACUGAUUGGCUGGACCUAUGCUGAUCCCUCUUGGGCUCGUAUUGCUGCACUUGUUCCGGUAGUAGUAUCUUCAGCUGAAGAUGGUGAUGAAGUUGCAAACAAAGUAUUAUAUGUCGCAGUUCAAGAAUUGGUUGAUAGUGUCAUAGCUGUUGUCCGAAGACUAAGAUUGUGUGGAGAAGAUGGAAAGGAUCCUUUCCCACUUGUUAUGGUUGGAGGUGUUCUUGAAGCUAACAAGAGAUGGGAUAUUGGGAAGGAAGUCAUAAACCGCAUCUCCAAGGUCUGCCCUGGUGCUCAUCCUAUUCGACCUAAGCCGUGAACCAAAUGUGCAGGGAAUAUGGCUAUUCCGAUUUCCAUUCCAGUCCAUUCUAAUUCCAAUUCCAAUCACAAACCAAACGCACCCAAGGUGGAACCGGCUGUUGGAGCAGCAUUGCUGGCUUGGAAUCAUUUCAUGAAAGAAUUUAAAGGUGAUCAUGGAAGCUGAUCUGAUUAAAGUUGUCUGAAUAUCAACGAAGGUGUUUACUUACAGCAACACAUUUAAACAUCGAAGCUGGAAGAAAGAUAAACAGGAAUAUUGCUCAACUGUCACUAGCAGCUCUGUCGGCGUUGAAACUUUCAGCAGUUGUGUGACCUUUUAUAGUCAACGCAUGCAAUUUCUGUUUUUUCUUUCUCUCUCUUUUUAUCAAUUCAAGGCUUGUAUUCGCUUCUGCAAAGUUUCGGGGUGUACAAUGUAAAUGGCGGAGAAGUGGAAUGGAAAGGUCAUGGGGUUCUCAAUUUUUUUCUCUUGUUGUUUUGGUCAGUCUUCAUAUUGAUCUAGAAUGCAACCCUUCAUUAUGCUAUGCAUUAUUUUAA